GAUGAACGCUGGCGGCGUGCUUAACACAUGCAAGUCGAACGGGAAAUAUUUCAUUGAGACUUCGGUGGAUUUGAUCUAUUUCUAGUGGCGGACGGGUGAGUAACGCGUGGGUAACCUGCCUUAUACAGGGGGAUAACAGUCAGAAAUGGCUGCUAAUACCGCAUAAGCGCACAGAGCUGCAUGGCUCAGUGUGAAAAACUCCGGUGGUACAAGAUGGACCCGCGUCUGAUUAGCUUGUUGGCGGGGUAACGGCCCACCAAGGCGACGAUCCAUAGCCGGCCUGAGAGGGUGAACGGCCACAUUGGGACUGAGACACGGCCCAGACUCCUACGGGAGGCAGCAGUGGGGAAUAUUGCACAAUGGGGGAAACCCUGAUGCAGCGACGCCGCGUGAAGGAAGAAGUAUCUCGGUAUGUAAACUUCUAUCAGCAGGGAAGAUAGUGACGGUACCUGACUAAGAAGCCCCGGCUA
rnacentral:rRNA from 1 species